rnacentral:rRNA from 1 species
GACGAACGCUGGCGGCGUGCUUAACACAUGCAAGUCGAACGGAAAGGCCCUGCUUUUGUGGGGUGCUCGAGUGGCGAACGGGUGAGUAACACGUGAGUAACCUGCCCUUGACUUUGGGAUAACUUCAGGAAACUGGGGCUAAUACCGGAUAGGAGCUCCUGCUGCAUGGUGGGGGUUGGAAAGUUUCGGCGGUUGGGGAUGGACUCGCGGCUUAUCAGCUUGUUGGUGGGGUAGUGGCUUACCAAGGCUUUGACGGGUAGCCGGCCUGAGAGGGUGACCGGCCACAUUGGGACUGAGAUACGGCCCAGACUCCUUCGGGAGGCAGCGGUGAGGAAUAUUGCACAAUGGGCGGAAGCCUGAUGCAGAAACGCCGCGUGCGGGAUAAAGGCCUUCGGAUUGUAAACCGCUUUCGCCUGUGACGAAGCGUGAGUGACGGUAAUGGGUAAAGAAGCCCCGGCUAACUACGUG